AGUGAACGCUGGCGGUAGGCCUAACACAUGCAAGUCGAACGGCAGCACAGUAAGAGCUUGCUCUUACGGGUGGCGAGUGGCGGACGGGUGAGGAAUACAUCGGAAUCUACUUUUUCGUGGGGGAUAACGUAGGGAAACUUACGCUAAUACCGCAUACGACCUACGGGUGAAAGCAGGGGAUCUUCGGACCUUGCGCGAUUGAAUGAGCCGAUGUCGGAUUAGCUAGUUGGCGGGGUAAAGGCCCACCAAGGCGACGAUCCGUAGCUGGUCUGAGAGGAUGAUCGGCCACACGGGAACUGAGACACGGUCCAGACUCCUACGGGAGGCAGCAGUGGGGAAUAUUGGACAAUGGGCGCAAGCCUGAUCCAGCCAUACCGCGUGGGUGAAGAAGGCCUUCGGGUUGUAAAGCCCUUUUGUUGGGAAAGAAAAGCAGCAGGUUAAUACCCCGCUGUUCUGACGGUACCCAAAGAAUAAGCACCGGCUAACUUCGUG
rnacentral:rRNA from 1 species